UACGAAGGGGGCUAGCGUUGCUCGGAUUGACUGGGCGUAUAGGGCGCGUAGGCGGCUUGGCAAGUGGAAGGUGAAAUCCCUCGGCUUAACCGAGGAACUGCCCUCCAAACUGCUUUGCUUGAGGCCGGGAGAGGUAAGUGGAAUUCCCAGUGUAGCGGUGAAAUGCGUAGAUAUUGGGAGGAACACCAGUGGCGAAGGCGGCUUACUGGACCGGUUCUGACGCUGAGGCGCGAAAGCGUGGGGAGCAAACGGG
rnacentral:rRNA from 1 species